UCAAGAUCCAGAGGCUCAUACCUGUUCUGAAGUGGCGCCUGGCUUGGGAGUGGGGGUCAGGAGCAAUUUUUAUUAUUAUGUCCUUGAGCAGGUAUCGACUCCAACUCCCCUUCAUCUACCAGGUGUCCUUCUAUUGUCUGACAGUGGGAGGCAUAAAAGAGAGUAGGAACCAAGGAGAGCAUUGCUGUCCUGUGAGACCUCAGGGAUCCUCAAGGAUCCACUGUGACACUGAAGGGCCCAAGGAUCCAAGGGACUUUGUGACACCAAGGGGUUCCAUGGAACCAAAGGGACAUUGUGACCCAGGGAAGCCUCAUGGAAACAUGGAGGUCAUUGGAACACUCUGGGGCCUCAAGGAACUGUGGUGACACCAAGCUGGGUGUGAGUGUGGAUCUGCUGGAGGGUCAGAGGGCUCUGCACAGGAACCUGGACAGGCUGGAUCCAAGGCCCAAAUCCAACAAGGGGCUCUCUUCUGUGAAUGGGCCAUUGAGUGUCCCUGCAGGACUGGUAAAAUGACAUCAUCCCAUUGUGGGAUGCUCCGCCCAGGGGGAGGAGCCACGCAUUCCUACCUGGAUAUAAACUGAGACUUGUAGCACCAGGAGCAUCUUGCCUACUGGAUUUCCAGAGGACAAGAGCUCCAUAAGCACCACUGGACCUUCAGAGGAAGACCAGACCCUUCUACAGGAUCACCGCUUCGACAGAAUCAUGUUCAUCACUGCAACAGGACUGAGGCCACCAUCUAAUGGGACUGCUACCACCACCCUGACACACAGGGUGCCAGAAUUUCCCAUCUCAAAACCACUGCCAGAUGGAGGAGAAGGCUGUAAGGAAGAGGAAGAUGUCCCGGGACCAUCAG